ensembl:lncRNA
GUUCUGGAAAAGUGCCGUAUGCAUUCUAAACCUCAACCAUACCUCCAUAUCUGAAUUGAAUGAUCUGUUCUUCAGGAGAGCUGUGGGGUAUGGCCAGCAGCUGUGUGUGAAGGGUGUGUGACCGUGGCAACUGGGAGCAGAGUGCAGGGUACAAAGGAAGAUGAACAACCCCCAUCACACACAAUCCCCCCUGUGCAAAGGUGUGUGCUGAUGGGACAUUGAGUGGCAGCCAGAGAGACCCUGAGCUUCCUGUCCUCUUCUGGUUUCUCCAUGGAGAUCGACAAGCUAUCUGCAGCACUGAAACCAUGCACCACACACUGGCUGUCACAUCCUUUCUGCAACCAUGGGUCAGACAGCGGUGAUGUCAUUACAUAACCAUACUGUAAGAUGAAAUCCAAAUCGCC